GCGGGGGUAGCUCAAUUGGUAGAGUGUCAGCCUUCCAAGCUGAAUGUUGCGGGUUCGAGCCCCGUUCCCCGCU
rnacentral:tRNA from 1 species